AGAGAGAGAGAGAGAGAGAGAGAGAGAGAGAGAUUGACACUACUGGCCUUUUCAGAGUAGAGUGGGUGUAGUGUUUCUCACAGCAAACUGAAGACAGAACGACAGUAUUGUAUCAAGACACUGCAAUAGUUCUGUCUACGUUCCUUAACGUUUACACACAACCAACAGUGUUGUAUAAAGACACUGCAUCAGUCUUAGAGUUAUAACACAAUGCCUCAUGGGUAACACAUUCAUAGUCUUAGGCUGACAAUACUUACUUUAGUCCAAAAUGACAAAAAAUGUGUUUGUCUGGUUUUACAUAUGAGUGUGUGUGUCUGUGUGUGAGGGAGUGUGUGUGUCUGUGUGUGAGGGAGUGUGUGUGUCUGUGUGUGAGGGAGUGUGUGUUUACAGCCAUGUGUUAUUGUCUCCUGAGGUAGACUGACCCCUGUUAAAGGACCAAUGACCUGUACUGUACCAUGUUGUCAGUACAGAACCGUAUGCUGUUCACUUCCUCUAAAACGGCCCUCGACCUCAGGGCUGCAGAGGGAAGAAUAAAAAUAUACAUGGUCUUGUGGCUGUCUGCUGCACCUCGCCUCAACUGCUUGUCUCUCUGCUGCACCUCGCCUCAAUUGUCUGUCUCUCUGCUGCACCUCGCCUCAACUCUCUGUCUCUGCUGCACCUUGCCUCAAUUGUCUGUCUCUCUGCUGCACCUCGCCUCAACUCUCUGUCUCUCUGCUGCACCUUGUCUCAACUGUCUGUCUAUCUGCUGCAUCUUGCCUCAAAUAUCUGUCUCUCUGCUGCACCUUGCCUCAACUCUGUCUCUGCUGCACCUUGCCUCAACUCUCUGUCUCUCUGCUGCACCUUGUCUCAAAUAUCUGUCUCUCUGCUGCAUCUUGCCUCAACUGUCUGUCUCUCUGCUGCACCUUGCCUCAACUGUCUGUCUCUCUGCUGCACCUUGCCUCAACUGUCUGUCUCUCUGCUGCACCUUGCCUCAACUCUGUCUCUGCUGCACCUUGCCUCAACUCUCUGUCUCUCUGCUGCACCCUGUCUCAAAUAUCUGUCUCUCUGCUGCACCUUGCCUCAACUCUGUCUCUGCUGCACCUUGCCUCAACUCUCUGUCUCUCUGCUGCACCUUGUCUCAAAUAUCUGUCUCUCUGCUGCACCUUGCCUCAACAAGGUUUCAAGUUGACAUAAUCAGACAGUCAGAAAGUCAGUGGGGUGUGUGUUGGGGGCUCAGUGUGUCAGAGAGCUACCACUCUCUCCCCAGAAACUCAGACCUGUUUUCCUUCCUAUCCAUCCAAGGUAGAAUCCCCACAGUGUUUACCUCUGUCUGUCUGAACCGCAGGGUAGCCUGA
rnacentral:lncRNA from 1 species